AAUGAACGCUGGCGGCAUGCCUAACACAUGCAAGUCGAACGAAGCCUUCGGGCUUAGUGGCGCACGGGUGCGUAACGCGUGGGAAUCUGCCCUUGGGUUCGGAAUAACAGUUAGAAAUGACUGCUAAUACCGAAUGAUGUCGUAAGACCAAAGAUUUAUCGCCCAGGGAUGAGCCCGCGUAGGAUUAGCUAGUUGGUGUGGUAAAGGCGCACCAAGGCGACGAUCCUUAGCUGGUCUGAGAGGAUGAUCAGCCACACUGGGACUGAGACACGGCCCAGACUCCUACGGGAGGCAGCAGUGGGGAAUAUUGGACAAUGGGCGAAAGCCUGAUCCAGCAAUGCCGCGUGAGUGAUGAAGGCCUUAGGGUUGUAAAGCUCUUUACCCGGAUGAUAAUGACAGUACCGGGAGAAUAAGCUCCGGCUAAACUCCGUGCCAGCAGCCGCGGUAAU
rnacentral:rRNA from 1 species